CAUCGCGUUGUUAGCAAUUAUACAGCGAAACUGCGAAUGGCUCAUUAUAUAAGUUAUCGUUUAUUUGAUAGUACCUUACUACUUGGAUAACCGUGGUAAUUCUAGAGCUAAUACAUGCUAAAAGUCCCGUAUGGGAUGUAUUUAUUAGAUUAAAAACCAAUGCCCUUCUGGGCUCACUGGUGAUUCAUAAUAACUUCUCGAAUCGCAUGGCCUUGCGCCGGCGAUGGUUCAUUCAAAUUUCUUCCCUAUCAACUUUCGAUGCUAGAGUAGUGUUCUAGCAUGGUUACAACGGGUAACGGAGGGUUAGGGCUCGACCCCGGAGAAGGAGCCUGAGAAACGGCUACUACAUCCAAGGAAGGCAGCAGGCGCGCAAAUUACCCAAUCCCGACUCGGGGAGGUAGUGACGAUAAAUACUGAUACAGGGCUCUUUUGGGUCUUGUAAUUGGAAUGAGUACAAUUUAAAUCCCUUAACGAGGAACAAUUGGAGGGCAAGUCUGGUGCCAGCAGCCGCGGUAAUUCCAGCUCCAAUAGCGUAUAUUAAAGUUGUUGUGGUUAAAAAGCUCGUAGUAGAACCUUGGGCCUGGCUGACCGGUCCGCCUCACCGCGUGCACUGGUUCGGCCGGGCCUUUCCCUCUGUGGAACCUCAUGCCCUUCACUGGGUGUGGCGGGGAAACAGGACUUUUACUUUGAAAAAAUUAGAGUGCUCCAGGCAGGCCUAUGCUCGAAUACAUUAGCAUGGAAUAAUAGAAUAGGACGUGUGGUUCUAUUUUGUUGGUUUCUAGGACCGCCGUAAUGAUUAAUAGGGACAGUCGGGGGCAUCAGUAUUCAAUUGUCAGAGGUGAAAUUCUUGGAUUUAUUGAAGACUAACUACUGCGAAAGCAUUUGCCAAGGAUGUUUUCAUUUAUCAGGAACGAAAGUAAGGGGAUCGAAGACGAUCAAAUACCGUCGUAGUCUUACCAUAACUAUGCCGACAAGGGAUCGGACGGGGUAAUUUUUGACCCGUCGGCCCUUACAAGAAUCAAGGGUUGGGGCUCAGGGGGAGUAGGGCCCAGGGUGAACUUAAAGAAUUGACGAAGGGCCCCCGGGGGAAACAAACCGUUUACCUUGCCCAAAGGAGACCCAAGGGCCGGGGGCCCUGGAAAAUUCUUAUC
rnacentral:rRNA from 1 species